AUCGCUUCUCGGCCUUUAGGCUAAGAUCAAGUGUAGUAUCAAAAUGUUCCUAUGCUUCUACAAGAAGCAAAUGUGCCAUACAAUUUUUUCCCUAACUGCAUGAACAAAACUUAA
rnacentral:snRNA from 1 species